GCAUCUAUGGAGAGAAGAAUAGUCCCACAGCACAGUUCGGAUGUAGGAGAAGCAAUAGCAUUCUUUGACUCGGUUAUUGCAGAUCUAGAUUCAGAGAGAUGGCGGAGAGUUCCUGACACAGAUCGGCCAAAUGUGGAUGUUGAUUUUGAUGUUGCUACCAGCACAAGUGAACACAGUUUACAUUCAAACUGGAUCCUUCGUGCUCCCCGCAGGUACUCUCAAGAUACUGCUCAAACAGCCAAGGCUGCAAACCAGUCUCAGAGAAACAGCCAACGGAGAACCACUGGCUCUAGGAAGAGGUUGGAAAGGCAUCCCAUGUACUUGCCCAAAGCAGUGGAAGGAGCAUAUAACACGUUAAAAUUUAAGCCCAAAACACAUAAGAGAGAAUAUUGAAAGAAUAUUCCAUCUUCAGCUGAAGACAGAACACAUUAAAUAAGGCAUGGAAGAAUUGCUUUUUUUUUUCUUUUUAACCCCAACCCAUCUCUUACACUCUAGAAGUGACAUAUGCAGUCACUGAAGGUUCUUUGUGUGGGAUGUACUUUAAGCCAUGGCAAUUCCAACGCUGGACUCAUUUGAGUGUUUAACUCAUCGAGUUCAUUGUGCCUAACAAUACUGCUUUGUCAUUCAGCUUGGGGGGGAACUCCAACCUGAAAAGCCUUUUUGUAGUGCUGUUAUUGAAAGCAAUGAUUCAGAGAUUGCCUGGUGCAGUAAUUUUUAUUUGGAUUCCAGUACUGCAAAGCAAUUCAGCUAAUACAUUGUGAGCUUUUGCACCAGUGUUUGCAUCUUCAGAGUGGGAAUACAGAGUUUUCUCCAUUUUUUGCAUGUGAAAGUCUGUAUGUGCCAUCAUUGACUCUGUGGUCUGAAAAUAUACAGCAGCACUGAGGUACAAGCAGGCUGUGGUACAAGCAGAAAAGGUUGCAGUGAAUCAGCAUUGGGAAUCUAAUGCUGCUUUGAGGAAUUGCUCCAGUGUGUUUUGAAAAAGAAAAAAAAAAAAAAAAGAAAGAAAUGAAAGAAAUACCCAAAAUAUCUUGUACUCUGCUUGCUACUGGGAAUCGUUCUGUCCUUGGAUACAAUGCCAAGGGAUAGUAUGCAUGCAUAAAUGCAUGCAUAAAUGUGUACAACUUUUUUUCAUAUGAUAACACCACCUCUUAGUUUUCAUCUAUUUCAACACCCAGAUGAUGAACAAAACUUAUUCAAAUGUUAGGAAUCUAGACAUCCCAGUGAACAUGAAAAAAGCUUACUAUCUUGGAGAAGAACAGUUCGUGAACAAAUUGAAGAUGUUGUUCUCAAGGGCAGGAGACAAUUCACAGGCAAAUCCAUUGCAUCAUCAUUAGAGUAUACCCAGUAUUUGGAUUUCUGCUAGCUCAUCAUUAAAGACUACGUAUUAGGAAGA
rnacentral:lncRNA from 1 species